UGGUGGAGUGAUUUGUCUGGUUAAUUCCGUUAACGAACGAGACCUUAGCCUACUAACUAGUCGAACCAAUUCCGAUUGGCUGCGACUUCUUAGAGGGACUUUGUGGGCCAAACACAAGGAAGUUUGAGGCAAUAACA
rnacentral:rRNA from 1 species